CUAAGAAUCUUCCGCAAUGGACGAAAGUCUGACGGAGCGACGCCGCGUGAAUGAAGAAGGCCGUGAGGUUGUAAAAUUCUUUUCAGGAGGAGGAAUAAGUCUGGCAGGGAAUGGCCGGAUGAUGACGUGAAUCCUGGAAUAAGCCCCGGCUAACUACGUGCCAGCAGCCGCGGUAACACGUAGGGGGCGAGCGUUGUUCGGAAUUAUUGGGCGUAAAGGGCGCGCAGGCGGCUUUGUAAGUCUGGUGUAAAAUGGUAGUGCUUAACACUAUCAGGCGCUGGAAACUACAAAGCUUGAGUUUAUGAGGGGAUGUUGGAAUUCCAGGUGUAGGGGUGAAAUCUGUAGAUAUCUGGAAGAACACCGGUGGCGAAGGCGAACAUCUGGCAAUAAACUGACGCUGAGGCGCGAAGGUGCGGGGAGCAAACA
rnacentral:rRNA from 1 species